AGGGGAAUCGCCAAGUUGGUUAAGGCAUCGGAUUUUGAUUCCGACAUACGAGGGUUCGAAUCCUUCUUCCCCUG
rfam:Burkholderiales bacterium RIFCSPHIGHO2_01_FTLL_63_240 rifcsphigho2_01_scaffold_54, whole genome shotgun sequence.